UGACCUGAGCCGAAGGUGGACGCUCAACCGACUGAGCCACCCAGGCGCCCUGGAAUCCUUUUUUGAAAAGAGAUUGGCAUAGAGGAAAAUUACUAAAACUACGUCAGCCUUCUUCCCCCUAGGAGGAAGAGAACAGCGCCUUAGCUUCUUGCCCACUUCAGCUCGAUGUGGCUGCGUGAAGCCCCAACUCAACACCUUUCAAAACCUGCUGUACGUACGGACAGCAAAUUCAGGGUCACUCGCAGAUGCCAGAGUAGCAACGGCCUCCGCACUCAGCUCUCAGAAACAACUCUCCCUCCUUUCCAAAUUCAGGAGCAACAAUUCCCAGACUCUCGAGGUGCCCCUGUGGACUCAUCUUCAGGUUUUGACAAGUCCUUGUAAACUAGACUGACUCUUGGCUUGAGUGGGCACAGCAAACGGUGCAUCGCAGGCAAAGGAGACUGAAAAGAAAGAAAACUCCCACAUUCCUCAUUGAAGGCUCUGUGAGUCCUAAAGAGUUCCUGGUCUUCCUGUUUAAUUCUCCUGCGUUCUGCGAAAUAUGUGCGAUGUAAAACUUAGUGAUAAAGAGACGUGACAGACUUCUGAAGAGGUGACAGAAGCUCAGCCUCCAAAAGGCGGUCUGCAGGAUUUUUGUGACCCUCAUUCCACGUGGGUGACUACGGUGCUCUGCCCACGUUAACAUCCAAGACCAACAAAAGACAGCCGAAGAGAAUGGUCUCCGAUAAGAGUGACGUUCUCUGCCUGGAGCCAUCUGCAGGCUGAAGUAUGUUGAUAAGCACGCCAUAAAUUGUAACCUUAACAAGCCAUCCUCCAGUUUUAGAGGGAAGCCAGUGCAGCCCACUGCAUAGAUAAGAGCUCAUUCUCAAGUCCAGAGAGGAAAGGUUACGAACAGCUCUCUCUUUUCUCCCUGAGCUAGCUGCUGUACAAAGGAAACUGGCGAGGCAGUGACAAUGGCCACCAAAAUUGUUUCCAUUUUCUGCAAAUCACUCUCCCCAAGAGUGGAGACCCUUUCCAAGUCUCAUAACCGUGUCAAGUUUGGGUCAUUAAUCACUGUCCCCGGCACUGGAGGAUCCUUUGGUUAAUGGCGUUACUUCCUGAGCCAGGCUUCUCACUAUCUAUGGGCAGGAUUUAUGCCUCAUUAUUCUCUUGGCUAAAGAGUUCCUCAAAUUUCCUGAGGCUUUCCUCUCCCCACAGGAUGAGGAGGAAGAGGACAACUCCCAUUCUGGGUCGUGCUUUGUUUUUCCCUUUGAAUUGUGAGUGAUCUAUGCUGCUUCUCCCUCUUAGCCGUCACUAUAACUGAUGGGCCUCUAGAUUUAUUGGUUCAAUUAGGGCUCUAUCUACAUGACAGCAACUGGUGGGUUUGCUCUAGUUCCCGACAAAAGUUGUGAAUUGGGUAGUGAAAAGUAUUGAUCCAUUUGCUGAUCAGUUGAAUGUAAUCUGUCAGAGUAACCUCUGAACGGUGAGUAAAUAAUCCAGGGAUCAUAUACAACAGUGUUAUGGAAAGGAAACUUUUCAAAAUAUUGUCUUUUCCACCACAUAGUGCUGUAGUUUGGCAAUUCUGAUCUUGUUUCUGCCAAGUCGAUAUAGCAAAAUGUAUAUUAUUUUCUGUUAACCAGCUAUCAGGCUAAGUAAAAUGUGAAUUUUGAGAGUUCAUUCCUAACAAGUCCUUUUAAUGAACACCUGGUCAACCAAGUUACUCAGAUCUGAUGUCAUAGACUGCACAACCUCAGGGAACCAUUUAGAUUAUUUGACUGGAAAAGUAAUUGAUUUGAAACCAACACAAAUGCCAAAGUAGUAGAUGUAGGUAGCCUCUCUGUUUAUCAUUUCCUUGGCCUCCCUCAUCAACUGAACCCCAUUAUGUUGAGGUAUUUGGUGACGAUGUGCUUCACGGGUCCUCCCCUGUCCCAGGAGUGAAUGUUGACAAGGCACAUCCACUGCUCUUGCCCAUCCCUGGAAUGGGUAUGGUCUUGUGACAUAACUGGUCAAUGAGUCAUGAGAGGGAAUCUGCUGGGACGAUUUUGAGAAAGUUCUUCCACCCUAAUAAAAAUUGAUAAGAAGAAUAACUGACCUUUUCUGGUUCUGGACAAGCUCUGUAAAAAGGUGGAAGUUGCUGAAGCCAUCGGGUCAUCAUUGGUGGGGGGAGAAGGGUGAGUUGAAGGUCCCAACAAGCUGAGGAUGGCAGAGCAGAGCAGAAAGUUUAAAGAAACUCCUGCACCGCAGUGCUGAGCUGUCCUGAAACCACCUUGCCCUUGGAUUGUUUUGUUAUAUGGGAUAAGAAACCCCUUAUUGUUCAAUGCACCAAUAGUUGGGUUCUCUGCCACUUGUGACCGAAAAGCAUUUUAACAGAUCUCAGCACAGAUGUAAGUGUAAUAGUGUUGAUGGAAGCCUGAAGACCUAUGCUCUGAAACCUUGAGCAAAAUCAUUCCUGGCUCUGGUGUGAGUUGGAAACCUGUCAAAAAUUUUUUUAAGUUCUGGAUCAAAUACUCAGGAAUCGGGGGCAAGACUCUAAUUCAGAGAGGAAAUCAAGUCUAGAAUUUCAGUGUGAAGGCAAAAAUGAUGUCGACUGUCAGGACUGAAAAGUGCACACUGUGCUCUUAUGCCAGACGCAAAAGACCAUAUAGGGUAUGAUUCCAUUUACAUGAAAUGUCCAGAGUAAGCAAGUCCACAGAGACAGAAAGCAGAUUAGUGUUUGCCAGGGUCUGAGGGAUGAGGGGAAACGGGGAGUGAGUAAUGGGAACGGGCUUUCUUUUUGAGGUAGUGAAAAUAUUCUGGAACUAGAUAGUGGUGAUGGUUGCCGAACACCGAACGUACCAAAUGUCACUGAAUUGUACACUUAAAAUGGAUAAAUAGUGAAUUUUAUGUUAUGUGUC